rnacentral:rRNA from 1 species
AGCGAACGCUGGCGGCAGGCCUAACACAUGCAAGUCGAGCGCCCCGCAAGGGGAGCGGCAGACGGGAGAGUAACACGUGGGAACGUACCCUUCAGUUCGGAACAACCAAGGGAAACUUUGGCUAAUACCGAAUACGUCCGUAAGGAGAAAGAUUUAUCGCUGAAGGAUCGGCCCGCGUCUGAUUAGCUAGUUGGUGGGGUAAUGGCCCACCAAGGCGACGAUCAGUAGCUGGUCUGAGAGGAUGAUCAGCCUCACUGAGACUGAGACACGGCCCAGACUCCUACGGGAGGCAGCAGUGGGGAAUAUUGGACAAUGGGCGCAAGCCUGAUCCAGCCAUGCCGCGUGGAUGAUGAAGGCCCUAGGGUUGUAAAGUCCUUUCGGCGGGGAAGAUAAUGACGGUACCCGCAGAAGUAGCCCCGGCUAACUUCGUGCCAGCAGCCGCCGUAACAC